CCUACGGGGGGCAGCAGUGGGGAAUAUUGGACAAUGGGGGCAACCCUGAUCCAGCCAUGCCGCGUGUGUGAAGAAGGCCCUCGGGUUGUAAAGCACUUUCAGUGAGGAAGAACGCCUGGUGGUUAAUACCCAUCAGGAAAGACAUCACUCACAGAAGAAGCACCGGCUAACUCCGUGCCAGCAGCCGCGGUAAUACGGAGGGUGCGAGCGUUAAUCGAAAUUACUGGGCGUAAAGCGCGCGUAGGUGGCUUGAUAAGCCGGUUGUGAAAGCCCCGGGCUCAACCUGGGAACGGCAUCCGGAACUGUCAAGCUAGAGUGCAGGAGAGGAAGGUAGAAUUCCCGGUGUAGCGGUGAAAUGCGUAGAGAUCGGGAGGAAUACCAGUGGCGAAGGCGGCCUUCUGGACUGACACUGACACUGAGGUGCGAAAGCGUGGGUAGCAAACAGGAUUAGAUACCCCUGUAGUC
rnacentral:rRNA from 1 species